rnacentral:rRNA from 1 species
UACGUAGGGGGCAAGCGUUAUCCGGAUUUACUGGGUGUAAAGGGAGCGUAGACGGCGCGGCAAGUCUGAAGUGAAAGGCAGGGGCUUAACCCCUGAACUGCUUUGGAAACUGCCAUGCUAGAGUGCUGGAGAGGUAAGCGGAAUUCCUAGUGUAGCGGUGAAAUGCGUAGAGAUAUGGAGGAACACCAGUGGCGAAGGCGGCUUCCUGGUCUGCAACUGACACUGAGGCGCGAAAGCGUGGGGAGCAAACAGG